AGGACCGUGAGCCGAUGCCUCCACGCAGACACAUGUUUUUUGCUACAUCAUUAUUUUGAUACCCGGUGGUUUGUUCUGCUGGUUGUGGGUUGUUUGCCAAGGGCCUUGGAGCAGCAGAGCUCAGGAAUGCAGCCUGUAAGCUGAAGAGUGUCACUGAAACCUGCUUUUUCAGAGCCAAGUACCACAGGUGAAAUCAUUGUGGCCAGCAGAUUGAGGCAGGUUCCUCUGAGGAGAAAAAACAGAGCAAGGGCCUGGAGGAGUUGUCAGCUGAGUGGGCUCUGCAGUGUAGG